rnacentral:rRNA from 1 species
UGAGGAAUAUUGGACAAUGGGCGCAAGCCUGAUCCAGCCAUGCCGCGUGCAGGAUGACGGUCCUAUGGAUUGUAAACUGCUUUUGUACAGGAAGAAACAGUUCUACGUGUAGAACCUUGACGGUACUGUAAGAAUAAGGAUCGGCUAACUCCGUGCCAGCGGCCGCGGUAAUACGGAGGAUCCAAGCGUUAUCCGGAAUCAUUGGGUUUAAAGGGUCCGUAGGCGGUUAGAUAAGUCAGUGGUGAAAGCCCAUCGCUCAACGGUGGAACGGCCAUUGAUACUGUCUGACUUGAAUUAUUAGGAAGUAACUAGAAUAUGUAGUGUAGCGGUGAAAUGCUUAGAGAUUACAUGGAAUACCAAUUGCGAAGGCAGGUUACUACUAAUGGAUUGACGCUGAUGGACGAAAGCGUGGGUAGCGAACAGGAUUAGAUACCCCAGUAGUCCCUGAGCGGGCUGGCAAGGCGCAU